UUAUUCGUUUGUCAGAUUUAUAAUAUUCACACAGCCGUCAGACUAUAACAGAUGGCUGCUUCUUCGUCAUCUGUGAUUGAUCAAGUCAGGCCUCCCGAUAUGCCAAAUUCAUCGGGUGUUGAAGAACAAUCGUUGACUGUUUAUGGGAUUUCGGAAGACAAUAUCAUCACAGGGCCUUGGGUCUUCAUCUCAUCGUGCUCAUGUGAUUAGUCUGAGAUUCCAUUGUUGCCGUAUGCAAAGGACUCUCGGCUUCUAAAUGGCACAGUAAGGUUUCAAGACCUGCAUCAAAGUGCUUAAGAAGUAAAGACCAAGUUAGAGACUUUGGAGGAGCAGGAGUCCUAAUGCCCUGCAAAUGUGCAAAUCAAAACGUUGAUGAAGUUUUUCUCACACUUUAGGAGGAGUCUCACACAAAUGAAUCACAACAGCUGCAACGACGUUUUUCUAAGUUUUAGUGUAUUAGCAAGCUCAUAAAUGAAUCCUGGAGUUUUUUGCAGAAAUAGGGGUUUUGAGCCCCCAAAGAUUACUUUUAGGUGGCAACCAAGAAAAUAAGUGAUUUUAGGUACAUUGCCAAAUAGUUCAGCGAACUUCUUCAAGAUUUCUGCCAAAAGCUGUUGCAGGUUUCACUUUUCUGACAAUUGAGUGAACCUCGUUGUUUUUAACAGCCAACUACUGAAGUUCGCUGAUUUAAUCAGCAUACCUGUAAUGAACCUCGCUGAAUUGAACCACAAUUUAAAGAACUUCGCUGUUUCUUUGUGCCAGGUUGAAUAACUUCGCUGUUUGGUUUUCCCAAGUUACAAUACUUCUGUUU